AGCGAACGUUAGCGGCGCGCCUAACACAUGCAAGUCGCACGAGAAAGGGAGCAAUCCCCGGUACAGUGGCGCACGGGUGAGUAACACGUAGAUGACCUUCCCUGGAGUGGUGGAUAACCUGCCGAAAGGCGGGCUAAUACAGCAUGGGACCACAUGGUUUUGACCGAGUGGUGAAAGCGGGCCUCUGUUCACAAGCUCGCGCUCUGGGAUGGGUCUGCGUCCCAUCAGCUAGUUGGUGAGGUAAUGGCUCACCAAGGCAUCGACGGGUAGCUGGUCUGAGAGGAUGACCAGCCACACUGGAACUGAGACACGGUCCAGACUCCUACGGGAGGCAGCAGUGGGGAAUAUUGGGCAAUGGGGGGAAACCCUGACCCAGCCAUGCCGCGUGAGUGAUGAAGGCCUUCGGGUCGUAAG
rnacentral:rRNA from 1 species